AAAUGGAGCACAAUUUUUCACUUCUCUGGUUGUAUUAAUAUUAUUGCAUUAGAAUGGUAUGUUUUUGACAUUUGAUAAACCAGUAUUGAUUCACUAUUUAAAGUCCAUAGUUUAUAUUAGACUUCACUUAUGGUUCUAUACAGUUCUCUUUUUUAAUGUUUUUAUUAGUGCACUAUAGUUAUUUAUAAUAUUGAGAUUCAUUUUGACAUAAUCAUACAUGUGUGGACUAAUUUGCUCCAAUUAAUUUCCCAGUACUUCUCCUUUCCCUAACUUUUUCCCUUCCCCAUUUCCCCUGGCCUCCUUUUUCUACUCUACUGGUUUUCCUUCCAUUUACUUAUAGUUUUUUUUUAAGUAGUUCUUUAUAAAUAUACAUGAAGUGAAAUUCACUUUGGUAUAUUCAUAUAUGUACACAGCAUUAUUUAUUCAAUUUCAUUCCACCAUUUCUCCCUUCCCCAUCCCUCAUCCCUUUCCCUCAAUCCCUUUCCUCUGCUCCACUGAUCUCCCUUCUGUUUUCAUGGGAUUCCCCAUCUCCCCCCACCCCUAUUUUGCUCUGUUUUUGCAUAUGAGAGAAAAUAUUCAAUCCUUUAUUUCUGAGUCUGGCUUAUUUCAUUCAUCAUGGUUGUUUCCACUUCUGUCCAUUUACCGGCAAAUACUAUAAUUUUAUUCUUUAUGGCUGAAUAAAACUCCAUUUUGUAUAUAUACUACAUUUUCUUUAUCCAUUCAUAUGUUGACAGGUCUAGGCUGGUUUCAUAAAUUGGCUAUUGUGAGUUGUGCUGCUAUUACUAUAAUAUGCUGUAGUGGCUGUAUUACUACAGCAUGAUUUUAGUUCUUUUGGAUAAAUACCAAAAAGUGGUAUAGAUGGGUCAUAUGUUAGUUCUAUUCCUAUUCUUUUGAAGAAUCUCCAUACUGCUUUCCAGAGUGGGUACACAAUAAAGAGUCCCACCAACAAUGUAUGAAUGUGCUACAUAAUGCCAUCUAUCUACCUUACAGGGUCAGAAACAAUAGUUUCACUGCUCUAAAGAGGCACUGUGGUCUGCAUACUCAAAGCUUCUGCCUGUCCCUCUAGUCCCUGGCAAACAUUGUUUUUAGAGAGUAUUUAUAGUUUUGUUAUAGUUGGAGUAAUACAGUAUGUACCCUUUUUGGACUGCCUUUCUUCCACUUAGCAUAUGCAUUCAAAGUUCCUUCAUGUCUUUUCAUUGCUUGAUAGUUCAUAUCUUUUUAUUCCUGAAAAAUACUGCAUUGUAUGUACCACAGUUUGUUCAUGUACUUGUCUAUUAAAAGAUGUCUUAGUUGAUAGCAAUCAUUGGAAAUUAUGAAUAAAGCUACUAUAAAUAUGUGUGUGUACGUUUUUGUGUGGGCAUAUGAUUUCAACUCAUAUGAGUAAAUAACCUAGGAGUAUAAUUGCUGGAUUG
rnacentral:lncRNA from 1 species